rnacentral:rRNA from 1 species
UGGGGAAUAUUGCACAAUGGGCGCAAGCCUGAUGCAGCGACGCCGCGUGAGGGAUGACGGCCUUCGGGUUGUAAACCUCUUUCGCCAGGGACGAAGCGCAAGUGACGGUACCUGGAUAAGAAGCACCGGCUAACUACGUGCCAGCAGCCGCGGUAAUACGUAGGGUGCGAGCGUUGUCCGGAUUUAUUGGGCGUAAAGAGCUCGUAGGCGGUUUGUCGCGUCGGCCGUGAAAUCUCCACGCUUAACGUGGAGCGUGCGGUCGAUACGGGCAGACUUGAGUUCGGUAGGGGAGACUGGAAUUCCUGGUGUAGCGGUGAAAUGCGCAGAUAUCAGGAGGAACACCGGUGGCGAAGGCGGGUCUCUGGGCCGAUACUGACGCUGAGGAGCGAAAGCGUGGGGAGCGAACAGGAUUAGAUACC